ensembl:snRNA U2 U2 spliceosomal RNA
AUCACUUCUCAGCCUUUUGGCUAAGUCAAGUGUAGUAUCUGUUCUUAUCAGUUUAAUAUCUGAUAUGUCCUCUAUCGCAGGACAAUAUAGUAAAUGGAUUUUUGGAAUUAGGAGUUAGACUAGGAGCUUGCUUGUUCACUUCACACAUCGACCGGGUAUUGCAGUACCUCCAGGAAUGGUGCAGCCCCU